rnacentral:misc_RNA from 1 species
AAGUCGUAACAAGGUUUCCGUAGGUGAACCUGCGGAAGGAUCAUUACAAAAACAAAAUCCAAACCACACCACUGUGCUCUUUAUUGUGAGAAAAAUGUCUUUGUGUGUUGUUGUGUUGUUGGGGGAAAGGAAAGAAAUUUUAUUUUUUUCCUUUCUUUCCUUCUCACACACACACACACACACACACAAGCUUUCUCUCACAUGUCUUUGUUUUCAAUUUUUCAUUACUCCUUGUUUAACCAACAACGGAUUACAAUGUUAAAACUUGAAACAAACAAACAAAACAAAAUGACAACUUUUAACGGUGGAUCUCUUGGCUCGU